UACAGAGGUCUCAAGCGUUGUUCGGAUUCAUUGGGCGUAAAGGGCGCGUAGGCGGCGGGGUCAGUCGGGUGUGAAAUCUUGGGGCUUAACCCCGAAACGGCACUCGAAACUGCCCGGCUGGAGGGCCGGAGAGGAGAUCGGAAUUCACGGUGUAGCAGUGAAAUGCGUAGAGAUCGUGAGGAAGACCCGUGGCGAAGGCGGAUCUCUGGACGGCUAACUGACGCUGAGGUGCGAAGGCCAGGGGAGCAAACGGG
rnacentral:rRNA from 1 species